CAGGUGCCACUGGCGAUCGUGGGGCUAACGGUAUACCAGGACACAAAGGACCUAACGGAGACACAGGCGCGCCAGGACAAGAUGGUAAACCGGGAGGUAAAGGACCUACCGGAAACCCAGGAACACCCGG